rnacentral:rRNA from 1 species
AUUAGAUACCCGGGUAGUCCCAGCCGUAAACGAUACUCGCUAGGUGUCGGCCACGGUGCGACCGUGGUCGGUGCCGUAGGGAAGCCGUGAAGCGAGCCACCUGGGAAGUACGGCCGCAAGGCUGAAACUUAAAGGAAUUGGCGGGGGAGCACCACAACGGGUGGAGCUUGCGGUUUAAUUGGAUUCAACGCCGGAAAUCUUACCGGGACCGACAGCAAUAUGAAGGCCAGGCUGAAGACUUUGCCAGAUUAGCUGAGAGGAGGUGCAUGGC